UACGUAGGGGGCAAGCGUUGUCCGGAUUUAUUGGGCGUAAAGAGCGUGUAGGCGGUUUGGUAGGUCCGCUGUGAAAACUCGAGCUCAACCUCGAGACGCCGGUGGAAACCAUCAGACUAGAGUCCGGAAGAGGAGAGCGGAAUUCCUGGUGUAGCGGUGAAAUGCGCAGAUAUCAGGAAGAACACCCGUGGCUAAGGCGGCUCUCUAGUACGGUACUGACGCUGAGACGCGAAAGCGUGGGGAGCGAACAGG
rnacentral:rRNA from 1 species